rnacentral:rRNA from 1 species
AAGGUUGGCUAAUCCUGGUCGGACAUCAGGAGGUUAGUGCAAUGGCAUAAGCCAGCUUGACUGCGAGCGUGACGGCGCGAGCAGGUGCGAAAGCAGGUCAUAGUGAUCCGGUGGUUCUGAAUGGAAGGGCCAUCGCUCAACGGAUAAAAGGUACUCCGGGGAUAACAGGCUGAUACCGCCCAAGAGUUCAUAUCGACGGCGGUGUUUGGCACCUCGAUGUCGGCUCAUCACAUCCUGGGGCUGAAGUAGGUCCCAAGGGUAUGGCUGUUCGCCAUUUAAAGUGGUACGCGAGCUGGGUUUAGAACGUCGUGAGACAG